UACGUAGGGUGCAAGCGUUGUCCGGAAUUAUUGGGCGUAAAGAGCUCGUAGGCGGUUUGUUGCGUCGGCUGUGAAAUCCCGAGGCUCAACCUCGGGUCUGCAGUCGAUACGAGCAAACUAGAGUGUUGCAGGGGGAGACUGGAAUUCCUGGUGUAGCGGUGGAAAUGCGCAGAUAUCAGGGAGGAACACCGGUGGCGAAGGCGG
rnacentral:rRNA from 1 species